rnacentral:tRNA from 1 species
UGCGAGGUAGUAUAGCUUGGUCUAGUACGUCGGCCUCAUAAGCCGGUAACCUCAGUUCGAAUCUGAGCCUUGCAA